GUGGGGAAUUUUGGACAAUGGGCGCAAGCCUGAUCCAGCAAUGCCGCGUGCAGGAAGAAGGCCUUCGGGUUGUAAACUGCUUUUGUACGGAACGAAACGGUCCGGGUUAAUACCCUGGGCUAAUGACGGUACCGUAAGAAUAAGCACCGGCUAACUACGUGCCAGCAGCCGCGGUAAUACGUAGGGUGCAAGCGUUAAUCGGAAUUACUGGGCGUAAAGCGUGCGCAGGCGGUGUUGUAAGACAGGCGUGAACUCCCCGGGCUCAACCUGGGAAUUGCGCUUGAGACUGCAAGGCUGGAGGGCGGCAGAGGGGGAUGGAAUUCCGCGUGUAGCAGUGAAAUGCGUAGAUAUGCGGAGGAACACCGAUGGCGAAGGCAGCCCCCUAGGAUGACACUGACGCUCAUGCACGAAAGCGUGGGGAGCAAACAGGAUUAGAAACCCCGGUAGUCC
rnacentral:rRNA from 1 species